rnacentral:rRNA from 1 species
GAUGAACGCUGGCGGCGUGCCUAGUACAUGCAAGUCGAGCGAACGGACGAGAAGCUUGCUUCUCUGAUGUUAGCGGCGGACGGGUGAGUAACACGUGGAUAACCUACCUAUAAGACUGGGAUAACUUCGGGAAACCGGAGCUAAUACCGGAUAAUAUUUUGAACCGCAUGGUUCAAAAGUGAAAGGCGGUCUUGCUGUCACUUAUAGAUGGAUCCGCGCUGCAUUAGCUAGUUGGUAAGGUAACGGCUUACCAAGGCAACGAUGCAUAGCCGACCUGAGAGGGUGAUCGGCCACACUGGAACUGAGACACGGUCCAGACUCCUACGGGAGGCAGCAGUAGGGAAUCUUCCGCAAUGGGCGAAAGCCUGACGGAGCAACGCCGCGUGAGUGAUGAAGGUCUUCGGAUCGUAAAACUCUGUUAUUAGGGAAGAACAUAUGUGUAAGUAACUGUGCACAUCUUGACGGUACCUAAUCAGAAAGCCACGGCUAACUACGUG